rnacentral:lncRNA from 1 species
GGGACAGCUCGACCCCCAGGGGAGCACGUGGCCACCAGCUCUGCCGCCUUCCUCCUCCUGAGACCGACCCUAGGAGUCCUCGUGCCCCAGUCUACCUAGACUCCCAGGAGCGUCCGGCCGGAAGAGACAGUGGGAGAUGAGGAAACUGAGAUUGGGAGGGGGACGUGAUGGGGUCCUGCACCCAGGCUGGUAUGAAAAAGGUGCCGAGAAGGUCCCAUGCAUCACCAGCCUGGAGGUAGCAGCAGAAGGGAAACCAGUGCCUCUGAGAGUGGGCAACUGUGCCCCAUCCACCUCCUCUUCUUCUUGGAGAUCUCAAGAUAAGACAAGAGACAUCAACCUGGGAUUGGGUUUCUGGGCAGAGAGUAAAAGUGAGCUCCUUCUGCCUGUGCACGCAGCUUCCCUCGGUACUGGGAUAGCCGAGAUCCCUUACUAGAAGCAGCUCACAAAACCUCCCCCAGUUACUGGGAUAGCCCAGACACCUUCCUAGGGCAGCAGCGGAAGAAAGAAGGGGACAAAAUACCAACGACCAGAAAGAAGAAAGAACUUAGCCUCAGUCACCAGCCACUGGGAGCUGAUAGUAACUGAAGGGAUGGAAAGCCCUCUGGGACAGUUUUAGUGGGAGCCCUCCAGAGCCUGGAGAGACUGCAGGUGGAGCAGGAAGGUGGGGAAGAAUUAGAGCAGUGACCCCGGCCACUUUUGGCCUCACGGUUCUGCACAAUGAGACAUUGCUCAUCUUCAGAGAACCGUGCCAUUCUGGCCAUCUGGCAUCCUAGACAAUUUUCCACUGUCUCUCAGUAUCCAGCCAUCCAGCCAUCUAGCCUCCUAACUACUUCUCUGUGCUGGUCCAGCCCAGUGCUCAGAGUUAGGAUAUUUUUAUGAAUAAAACAGACCUAGCUUCUGCCCUCGUGGAGCUUACAGCGUGGGGCGAAAGGAGACUGAUCAAAAUGCCACACACAUGUAAUUUACAACCUUGGGAAGUGCCAAGAAGGGGAAGUGUUGGGUGCCACUGAGAACAUUCACAGAGGUUAACCUGGGGCUGAGGUGGAGGAAAGGUCAGAUGGAAGCUGUCUAACCACCCUGGGCUUCUGGCUUAGGAUGUGUAGGGCUAGCAGCUCAGCCCAUGAGGUUGUGUCUUGAACUUGGGUAUUGAUGGAAUAGCUAUAGAAACAGAACAACCAUGAAGUGAAGAUGGUGAAUGAAGAUCCUCUCAUCAGCUUGCGAUUGCAUGACAGAGGAGGCUGCAAGGACACUCAGGUGUGAAGACGGGUGAGUUGCCAGUUCUGGAGUGCAGAUGUGGUUACCAGCAGCCUCUGUUUUGGAGGCUACUCUGAAGCCAUAUUCAGCUUGGGAGGCCUCCUGCAGGGUUGACCCAGUUCUGGAACAAACCAAGGUGUUUGGGUCUGAACCAGGGCCUGAGCAGAUCCCAUCCCAUAUCCAGCUGAACUGUCUCACCCAGUCUGCAUUGAGUAUCGGUCCCAAGUGGAGGCCAC